GCCUAACGGCCGAACCAGCAAUUUGGGGGAAUGCGAUAUUUAGUUUUUUUAAGAUAUCGAAAUAAACGGCUAUGUCGUAUAAAGUUCUAGAUAGAUGAUUGAUAAUGACAGUUUUCUAUCUAUAUGUCUUGACCAAAUCUUGUGCCAGCAGUCGCGGCAAUACAAGUAAGACUAGUGUUAUUCAUCUUUAUUAGGUUUAAAGGGUACCUAGACAGUAUUUCUAGCCUCAAAAGGGAACAGAUUUACUAGAGUUUUAUGUGAGAGGAAAAUAUUAGAACCAUUGGAGUAGUGAUAGAAUAUUUUGAUACUAAUGGGACGGAUAACGGCGAAGGCAAACCUCUAUGUAAUAACUGACGUUGAGGGACGAAGGCUUGGGGAGCGAAUAGGAUUAGAUACCCUAGUAGUCCAAGCAGAGAAUUAUGAAUGUUAUAUAUUAAAAUUUUUAGUGUAUAAAUGAAAGUGUAAGCAUUCCACCUCAAGAGUAAUGCGGCAACGCAGGAACUGAAAUCAUUAGACCGUUUCUGAAACC
rnacentral:rRNA from 1 species